rnacentral:piRNA from 1 species
UGAUUUAUGAAACUAUGAAAC